rnacentral:rRNA from 1 species
ACAUCGACGGCAAGGUUUGGCACCUCGAUGUCGGCUCAUCGCAUCCUGGGGCUGGAGCAGGUCCCAAGGGUAUGGCUGUUCGCCAUUCAAAGCGGUACGCGAGCUGGGUUCAGAACGUCGUGAGACAGUUCGGUCCCUAUCCUCCGCAGGCGCAAGGGAGUUGAGGAGGGCCGCCCCUAGUACGAGAGGACCGGGGCGGACGGGCCUCUGGUGGAGCGGUUGUCGACCAACGGCACCGCCGCCUAGCUACGCCCGGAACGGAUAACCGCUGAAAGCAUCUAAGCGGGAAGCCGGCUCCGAGAUGAGCUCCCUCUUUGGUAAGGGCCCGGGUAGAACACCCGGUCGACAGGCCGCAGCUGCAAGCGCCGCGAGGCGCUCAGGCGAGCGGUGCUGAUAGCCCGAGCUCUUCUUCAC